UACGUAGGGGGCGAGCGUUGCCCGGAGUACUGGGCGUAAAGCGCACGCAGGCGGUCUGCUAAGUUUGGAGUGACAGUUGGUGGCUUAACUGCCAAAGUGCUUCGAAAACUGACAGACUUGAGGGCUUCAGAGGGACACGGAAUUCCGGGUGGAGUGGUGAAAUGCGUAGAGAUCCGGAGGAACACCAAAGGCGAAGGCAGUGUCCUGGGGAGUA
rnacentral:rRNA from 1 species